rnacentral:lncRNA from 1 species
AAAGCAGCCGUUGGAAAAGGGUGAAGAGCUAGAAACGUCAGAGGACAUAAAAACUAAAUCGUCACUGAAGUCAUCGUCACCACUCUGCCUACUUCCUCAGUGCAUGAGCAGUAGACAGUCACAGCCACUCAGUUGCCAAAUGGUGUCAACACGCUCACACAGAAGUCUAAGAAACAGCAACGCCGUGGCUACUGAGCUCUGAACUCACGAGAGACAUCAGGAACAUGCUACAAGGAAACCAUAUGACCAUCACACAAAGCCACGAGGGGCAAACCAUAUCUCACCCGUAGCACCUUCUCAGGACACCACAGCUCAGGACACCACAGGAAUUGGAAGGGUGAAGCUACCUCCCCAUCCUGUACUCUGUGGUCUGCUGUGUUUUCCUGCACGGGCUCUCAGAGGUGUGUCUUCAAAUUUUCCCUUCACCUGAAGUGAUCUUGUCCACCCAUCAUGGGUAGGGGCAACUUCUGGACUUCUAGGAUGGCUCAAUCUUUUGGGAAAGACUUGGAUAA